rnacentral:rRNA from 1 species
GAUGAACGCUGGCGGCGUGCCUAAUACAUGCAAGUCGAGCGAACGGACGAGAAGCUUGCUUUUCUGAUGUUAGCGGCGGACGGGUGAGUAACACGUGGAUAACCUACCUAUAAGACUGGGAUAACUUCGGGAAACCGGAGCUAAUACCGGAUAAUAUUUUGAACCGCAUGGUUCAAAAGUGAAAGACGGUCUUGCUGUCACUUAUAGAUGGAUCCGCGCUGCAUUAGCUAGUUGGUAAGGUAACGGCUUACCAAGGCAACGAUGCAUAGCCGACCUGAGAGGGUGAUCGGCCACACUGGAACUGAGACACGGUCCAGACUCCUACGGGAGGCAGCAGUAGGGAAUCUUCCGCAAUGGGCGAAAGCCUGACGGAGCAACGCCGCGUGAGUGAUGAAGGUCUUCGGAUCGUAAAACUCUGUUAUUAGGGAAGAACAUAUGUGUAAGUAACUGUGCACAUCUUGACGGUACCUAAUCAGAAAGCCACGGCUAACUACGUGCCAGCAGCCGCGGUAAUACGUAGGUGGCAAGCGUUAUCCGGAAUUAUUGGGCGUAAAGCGCGCGUAGGCGGUUUUUUAAGUCUGAUGUGAAAGCCCACGGCUCAACCGUGGAGGGUCAUUGGAAACUGGAAAACUUGAGUGCAGAAGAGGAAAGUGGAAUUCCAUGUGUAGCGGUGAAAUGCGCAGAGAUAUGGAGGAACACCAGUGGCGAAGGCGACUUUCUGGUCUGUAACUGACGCUGAUGUGCGAAAGCGUGGGGAUCAAACAGGAUUAGAUACCCUGGUAGUCCACGCCGUAAACGAUGAGUGCUAAGUGUUAGGGGGUUUCCGCCCCUUAGUGCUGCAGCUAACGCAUUAAGCACUCCGCCUGGGGAGUACGACCGCAAGGUUGAAACUCAAAGGAAUUGACGGGGACCCGCACAAGCGGUGGAGCAUGUGGUUUAAUUCGAAGCAACGCGAAGAACCUUACCAAAUCUUGACAUCCUUUGACAACUCUAGAGAUAGAGCCUUCCCCUUCGGGGGACAAAGUGGCAGGUGGUGCAUGGUUGUCGUCAGCUCGUGUCGUGAGAUGUUGGGUUAAGUCCCGCAACGAGCGCAACCCUUAAGCUUAGUUGCCAUCAUUAAGUUGGGCACUCUAAGUUGACUGCCGGUGACAAACCGGAGGAAGGUGGGGAUGACGUCAAAUCAUCAUGCCCCUUAUGAUUUGGGCUACACACGUGCUACAAUGGACAAUACAAAGGGCAGCGAAACCGCGAGGUCAAGCAAAUCCCAUAAAGUUGUUCUCAGUUCGGAUUGUAGUCUGCAACUCGACUACAUGAAGCUGGAAUCGCUAGUAAUCGUAGAUCAGCAUGCUACGGUGAAUACGUUCCCGGGUCU